rnacentral:rRNA from 1 species
UACGGGGGGAGCAAGCGUUGUUCGGAUUUACUGGGCGUAAAGGGCGCGUAGGCGGCCUGUGCAAGUCAGUUGUGAAAUCUCCGGGCUUAACUCGGAACGGUCAACUGAUACUGCUCGGCUAGAGUGCGGAAGGGGCAACUGGAAUUCUUGGUGUAGCGGUGAAAUGCGUAGAUAUCAAGAGGAACACCUGCGGCGAAGGCGGGUUGCUGGGCCGACACUGACGCUGAUGCGCGAAAGCUAGGGGAGCGAACAGG